GUCAAGUAGGACGGACGAAGCCAUUUUCCAGAUGGAAAGAGGACAGACUUCCAGUUUAUUAAAACGAUGUUAAAGACUCAUUUAUGCUUUAUGACUAAAUGGACAUGAAGGGAACCUAAAAAUGCAGAAAAACAACAACUGAAGAAAUGAAAGUGAAAUAAACUGAAACAACUAGAAAACAAAAUCACUCAGAUGAGAGGGAAAUCAGAGGCAUUUGUCCUCCCUCAGCCCCCCCCAAACCCCGUCCAGCGUCAUCUGUAAAUCAGACACUGGUACAAGGAUUGGGAGAGACGGAGAUGGACUGUAAGACAGAUAAUUAGCAUAGUAACAUUUAAACUGAAGUCUAGCAAGUUGUCUGGAUGAACACUGACAGAAAAAGUCAGUUAUUAGUAAAAUUAAUAAGCAUAAAAGUUUGCAAACAUUACCGUGGAAAGUCCACACAUUUUCAAAAGUCACAAUGAUGUUCAUCAUUUAGAAAUUACAGACAUACUUAGAGCACAGAAAUUUAAAUUAAAUCUGUAGUUACCACAAAGACCCUCUGAGCAGCAACAUCCUUGUCAUCCAAAAUUGACAAACACUCAAGCAUUUUCUUAACAAUCAUAUUGCUCAUCCGUGCAGCUUAGCCUUCUGUGAAGCUUCAUCUGCUCUCUGAUGUCUUACCUCAGAGUGAUUUCCUCUUUAGCUGA